CCACGCCAUUGCAUGCCAGCCUGGGUGACAGAGUGAGACUCUGCCUCAAAAACAAAGCAAAACAAAACAACACAACACAAAACAAAACAAAAAAAGCUUAAUAACUACGUUAUUUUAUUCUAUGUGUAUUACCCACACCUAUCUCUGAAUAAAGUAAAUGUUCAAUAAAUAUUUCAAAUUAGGUUAAUUCAGAAGUUUUAUAUGUAUUUUGAGCAAGUGAAAAUUAGGGUAUGCAUUAGAGAAUCUUAAAACUAUAUGGAUCACAGUGAUUAUGCAUGCAAACUUUUUAUUUUUGUAUGUUACCUUUUCAGAAGAAGAGAAUGGAACCCACAGAUGUAAUGUGAUCAAUGGUCUGCAGUCAGUUGGUGGCAGAUCUAGGUCUGGAACACAAGUCUCUAGCCCAUGGGUUCAACCCUGUAUUUCUUGUAUCUCUGCCACAACUGCUACUAGAACUUGUGAUUUCCACCAAGAUUUCAAAAAUAGGAAUUAAAAAUUAGUAAAGUUCUCUGAAGAUGUUCAUAAACAGAACAUUCUGUGCACGUGUAAUGUCAUAAGUAACUAAUUGAGUCCUGGUAGAGGUAAGUAGGCAAAUGCAUUUUCUUCUUUAAAAAUUACAUAAAACCAAGUGUACAAAGUACAGCUUAAAACCAAGGAUCCCUAUGAAUAGUAUCUGAGUUGGGUUCUUACCCUUUUAAAACUCAGAGGAGUAGAUUUUCAGGCAUGUCAUCCUGUGUCCUACUUUUACAGUAGAACAGGAAGUAGACUAACAGAGAGGAACUCUAUGGGGCCCAUGAGCUGGCAAAUAAACAAACAAAAUGAUUCUAUGUCUAGGAAUGGUAUUCAUACUCCAAAGUCCUUGGUCCAUCCAGGAUAUCUUGUGUCUGUAAUGUCAAAACUAAUAAGAGAAAGGAAUGAAGACAAAGUCCAGAAGUCUGACAGCUGCUUAUUUCCUAUUGGAAGCCAUGAUAACUCAUGCCUGUGUGAUUAAAACAAAUGGUUGAGACAUCUCAAUGAUAUCUUAUUGAUAAGACAGCAGUGGCCAAAUAUUGAUACCAGAACACAAUGAAAUAGUCCUAUAAACCAGCCAUACCAAGAUGUCAAAAUUAUUGAUUUAAUCCCUUAUAUUUUCCCAUUUGUCAACACUCAAUAUUGGAUACCCAGCCAAAUGUCUUUUUGGUUAUCUUUAAAAAUCAAACGCUUUAUACUUCCUUGAGCGUUUGUUCCAUAAUCUCACAUGUUUUUACUUAGAUUUUCCUGAUAGAGUGCCUAUUUUUUAAAAUCUUAGCUUUAUCCAAUAUUCAUACUUAUUUUAUCUUUUUCCAUCACAUUGCAGUAACUCUCCAUUAGUGUUGUAAUCUUUGCUUCUGCAUUGUUGCUUUUCCUACCACAGAUGUAUAUUAAGACAUUACUAAAUUCAGAAAUUAACUCUGAGAUCCUGUUGUAAAUGUACCCAUCUUGCUGCUUUUGACCCCAUGCAUAUCUUUUGGCUAAGAGUAAGAGAGAAAGAAGAAAACCAAUGCUCUUCUUCAUUCCAGAAUAAACAACAUUUAUAAUCCCAGACCUGUGGGAAGCAUUUCCAGGAAAUAUGGAUCAUCACAUUGGCUCUUGUUACCAGAACUGUGCAAGGCUCCCAUUGGCCGAACACAACUGGAUUUCAGAAGACUUAAUGGAGACUAUACAGGUCAGCCUUCCAGGGUACAGAGCAAGAUGGAGAGUGAUAGACUAGAUACAGAAGAGCAAUCCCAAGAUAGCUCACUCAGAAGACAACACUCACUCUGACUACCCAACUUCAUUGAAACUAAAAGAAACUUCAUCUUGCUUUAGAGGAAAAUAAUCUGGGCCAGAUACCCAGUUUGGGCUGAUAAAUAUACUGCUGUGUAUAUUUUACACUUUGCAGAGAUGUGGCAGAUACCUAAAAUCUGUGUUUAAUGAACUGAAUAAAAAAAUACUCUGAUGUAAAUAUUUAAAUUUCAGAGACCUAAUAAUGAAUAGUGUGGUGCACAGACUCUAAGGAAGCCCCCAUGAUCCCUGCCUCCAGGUAUCCAUGCCUUUGUGAAAUCUGCCCCCAUCGAGUGUAGGCAGGAUCUGAGACUAGCCUCUAACGAAUAAAAUUGCAAAGGUAAUAGGCUGUCACUACUGUGAUUAUGUCAUUCAUAUGAUAAAGGUGCUGAUGUCACUCCUGUGAUUAUCUUGCAUUACAUAAAGCUGCCCUGCUAGCAGGCUCAUGCUGGAGACUUUCUCUCUUGCUUGCUUUGAAGGAAUGACCUGCCUUGUUGUAAGAGGUUUGGGGAGAGAGCCAUGUGGCAAGCAACUGCCAGCAGCCUCUUGGAACUCCUGGCUAACAGUCAGCAAAAAGCCAGAAACCUCAGUUUACAACCACAAAAUGAUGAAUCCUGCCAACAACCUGAGUCGGUUUUGCAGUGGAUCCAUCCCCAGUCAAGCUUUCUGAUGAGAAUCCAGCUCCAGCCAAGAGCUUUUGCUGUUGUUCUUGUAAUUAAUUGUGAGUUUUUUUCAGUUUUAUGGAGACAUAGUUGACAAAUUAAAUCAUAAAAAUUUAAAAUAUAUAAUGUGAU
rnacentral:lncRNA from 1 species